GCAGUCGAGGGGUAUAGUUCUUCGGAAUUAGAGACCGGCGCACGGGUGCGUAACGCGUAUGCAAUCUACCUUUCACAGAGGGAUAGCCCAGAGAAAUUUGGAUUAAUACCUCAUAGUAUGCAGAGUUGGCAUCAACACUGCAUUAAAGUCACAACGGUGAAAGAUGAGCAUGCGUCCCAUUAGCUAGUUGGUAAGGUAACGGCUUACCAAGGCUACGAUGGGUAGGGGUCCUGAGAGGGAGAUCCCCCACACUGGUACUGAGACACGGACCAGACUCCUACGGGAGGCAGCAGUGAGGAAUAUUGGUCAAUGGGCGCAAGCCUGAACCAGCCAUGCCGCGUGCAGGAUGACGGUCCUAUGGAUUGUAAACUGCUUUUGUACAGGAAGAAACAGUUCUACGUGUAGAACCUUGACGGUACUGUAAGAAUAAGGAUCGGCUAACUCCGUGCCAGCAGCCGCGGUAAUACGGAGGAUCCAAGCGUUAUCCGGAAUCAUUGGGUUUAAAGGGUCCGUAGGCGGUUUAGUAAGUCAGUGGUGAAAGCCCAUCGCUCAACGGUGGAACGGCCAUUGAUACUGCUAGACUUGAAUUAUUAGGAAGUAACUAGAAUAUGUAGUGUAGCGGUGAAAUGCUUAGAGAUUACAUGGAAUACCAAUUGCGAAGGCAGGUUACUACUAAUGGAUUGACGCUGAUGGACGAAAGCGUGGGUAGCGAACAGGAUUAGAUACCCUGGUAGUCCACGCCGUAAACGAUUGAUACUAGCUGUUGGGAGCGAUCUCAGUGGCUAAGCGAAAGUGAUAAGUAUCCCACCUGGGGAGUACGUUCGCAAGAAUGAAACUCAAAGGAUUUGACGGGGGCCCGCACAAGCGGUGGAGCAUGU
rnacentral:rRNA from 1 species